AAGCCCAGUCCCGCAUGGCAGAUCGGUUCAGGGCAGCCCCUUCCGAGUAGGCCUCAUCUGCCAACAUUAGCAUCCUGCAUAGGGGGCCCAGCAUAUCAAGCAAUUUGUCCUGCACCAAGCCCUUUCUUGGGAUCACGUCCAGUACAGGUCAUGUAUGUAAACACCAGGGAAUCAAAUUCCGGAGUCGUGGCAACCUUAUCCGGCAGGGCAGGCCUGGCGCAUUCAGCCCAGAGUUUUCUGUGAACCUCCCAAUCCAGAGGUCUGUGAACCCAGUAAUGCACGAAUUGUGCCAAGUGAUCAGGAAGGGACCAUUCGGAGGACCUGGGGUGUCGAAUGGUUCGCUCGUGGCGUCCAAGAAAGUGUCAUCGUCCGUGGCUCUCCGCCUCAUAGUGCCACUUAGGUUCGUCCCCAAGGUCCUCGUCACACUCAACUUCGCCCUCCGAUGGGGACUGGUCCGCCUGCCAUUCGUCCAGGAUGACCAUGGAAGGCGGCGGUGUCUGGGCGGAGAGGCUGACAAUGCCUGGCCAUGACGCCGGGCCAUGGCGCUUCGCCGGAGUCUUGCCUUUUCCGGAGCGUGGUUCAGGGCCUUCACCCUUCCAAUAGCCAUCUGGGAGGACUCCCUAGCACCCCAUUGAGGGAUGACCCUAGCCCAGGGUCUUUUCCACGGAGGCUGCCACUGCCGCAUUAAUCGUGGCUUGCAGAUUAAUCAUGGCUUGCAGAUGGCUCCGUGAUCAAGGAGUCGUGUGUAAUGUGACACCUACGGGUACAGAGGACAGGUGUCACUAGUAUGCAAAUGGGGCAGCACCCCUAAUGGCAGAGGCAAGCAGUUGGCGCAUGCAGGGUCCAAGUGGGCUCACAGAGCCGCCAGGCGUACAUAGAUAAUGGCACAGCCAGAGCAGGCCAAUCAAGGGGCACAGACAAAGCAGGCCAAUUCAGGGCACAGCCAAAGCAGGCCAGCCACACGGCACAGACCGCGCAGGCCAAAUAGAGGCACAGUCAAGGCAGGCCAAUCAGAGUUUGCAGGAAACAUGCUUGGGGGCAGGUAUUCAGGCAUGUAUAUAGAAUCCCUAGAAAUUGCAGUAAGCAGGGAAGGCUGCACGGCAGAGGGCAGGCCAAAUGUAACCCCUACCACCAGUCUUAUGGCAGCCAUUAUGAGUCAGCAGAGCAGUGAAAUGGGCAGCAAUACAGCACUCUAAAUGGCUAUAAAACAUGCAGACAUACAGCAAAUAUAUUUAAUGCAUACACCUUUAAAAUUGGCAAAGUAACGUGCACUAAUACUAUAUGAGCUAGCGGCACUAAGGCACCGAGGUCGCGGGAGGGUGAGAGUUAGGCGGUCGGGAGAAGUCGCUCCCACGUAGACAGCUUUCUCCCACACUACCGCACACAUCGCCCUACCCAAGCCGCGGUCAAACCGACACCGCGGGCUGGAGUGUGGGCAGGGUGAGAGCCAGAAAAGGCACGUGGAACCGCCAGAGUCUUACUCCGCGAUAGGCAAUGGGAGGCAUUCAGAGGACCUCAACCCAGCUAACACAAGAAAACAAGCGAGGGGUGAAGAAGGGGUAGGUAGGGCAAGACAACAAACUGGGCAGGGUUAGAGAGAGGGGUAAGAAGCAGUGCUACCCCAGUUGCAAAACCAGAAGAAACAGCCCACAGAAUAAGCCCCAAACAGGAAGAAUCAUGUACAAAACCCCCCACACAGCAGAUAGCAAUACAGAACACAGAAAUAUGAAAUACAAUAAAAAUAAAAUAUGUAAUAAAAUAUCCACAGCCACCCAAAGUAACAGGAGGCAGUGAUACUCUGACCUGUGACAAGAAAAAGAAAAAAACAA